rnacentral:rRNA from 1 species
UGAGGAAUAUUGCGCAAUGGGCGAAAGCCUGACGCAGCGACGCCGCGUGGACGAUGAAGGUCUUCGGAUCGUAAAGUCCUUUUCUGCGUGACGAGGAAGGACGGUAGCGCAGGAAUAAGUGUCGGCUAACUACGUGCCAGCAGCCGCGGUAACACGUAGGACGCAAGCGUUAUCCGGAAUUACUGGGCGUAAAGGGCGUGUAGGCGGCACGGUAAGUCAACCGUGAAAGCUCCCGGCUAAACUGGGAGAGGUCGGAUGAGACUGCCGAGCUAGAGGGUCGUAGAGGGGUGUGGAAUUCCGGGUGUAGUGGUGAAAUGCGUAGAGAUCCGGAGGAACACCAGAGGCGAAGGCGGCACCCUGGACGACACCAGACGCUGAGACGCGACAGCACGGGGAGCGAACGGGAUUAGAGACCCGUGUAG